GACGUAGGGUGCAAGCGUUGUCCGGAUUUACUGGGCGUAAAGCGCGCGUAGGCGGGUCGUUAAGUGUGAAGUGAAAUCCCCGGGCUCAACCCGGGAACUGCUUUACAUACUGGCGGUCUGGAGGGAUGCAGAGGUUUGUGGAAUUCCUGGUGUAACGGUGAAAUGUGUUGAUAUCAGGAGGAACACCCAUGGCGAAGGCAGCAAACUGGGCAUUUCCUGACGCUGAGGCGCGAAAGCGUGGGUAGCAAACAGG
rnacentral:rRNA from 1 species